rnacentral:rRNA from 1 species
AACUAACGCUGGCGGCGUGCCUAACACAUGCAAGUCGUACGAGAAAGUUGGCUUCGGCCGAUGAGUAAAGUGGCGCACGGGUGAGUAAUGCGUGGAUAAUCUGCCCUUUAGUUGGGAAUAACGUACCGAAAGGUGCGCUAAUACCUGAUAAUACUGCAUAACUACUGUUGUGUAGUCAAAGAAGGCCUCUGUUUACAAGCUUUUGCUGAAGGAUGAGUCCGCGUACCAUUAGCUGGUUGGUGGGGUAAUGGCCUACCAAGGCUACGAUGGUUAGCUGGUCUGAGAGGAUGAUCAGCCACACUGGAACUGAGACACGGUCCAGACUCCUACGGGAGGCAGCAGUGAGGAAUAUUGCGCAAUGGGGGCAACCCUGACGCAGCAACGCCGCGUGAGUGAGGAAGGUUUUCGGACCGUAAAGCUCUGUCGAGCGGGAAGAAAUGUAUCAUGGCUAAUAUCCAUGAUACUUACGGUACCGCUAAAGGAAGCACC